AACGAACGCUGGCGGCAGGCCUAACACAUGCAAGUCGAGCGCCCAGCAAUGGGAGCGGCAGACGGGUGAGUAACGCGUGGGUAUCUACCUAGUGGUGCGGAAUAGCCCAGGGAAACUUGGAGUAAUACCGCAUAAGCCCGAAAGGGGAAGAUUUAUCGCCAUUAGAUGAGCCCGCGUUGGAUUAGCUAGUUGGUGGGGUAACGGCCCACCAAGGCGACGAUCCAUAGCUGGUCUGAGAGGAUGAUCAGCCACACUGGGACUGAGACACGGCCCAGACUCCUACGGGAGGCAGCAGUGGGGAAUAUUGGACAAUGGGCGCAAGCCUGAUCCAGCCAUGCCGCGUGAGUGACGAAGGUCUUCGGAUUGUAAAGCUCUUUUGGCGGGGACGAUAAUGACGGUACCCGCAGAAUAAGCCCCGGCUAACUUCGUGCCAGCAGCCGCGGUAAGGCACGACUGU
rnacentral:rRNA from 1 species